GAUGAACGCUAGCGGGAGGCCUAACACAUGCAAGCCGAGCGGUAUUUCUUCUUCGGAAGAGAGAGAGCGGCGCACGGGUGCGUAACACGUGUGCAACCUACCUUUAUCUGGGGGAUAGCCUUUCGAAAGGAAGAUUAACACCCCAUAAUAUAUUGAAUGGCAUCAUUUGAUAUUGAAAACUCCGGUGGAUAAAGAUGGGCACGCGCAAGAUUAGAUAGUUGGUGAGGUAACGGCUCACCAAGUCAAUGAUCUUUAGGGGUCCUGAGAGGGAGAUCCCCCACACUGGUACUGAGACACGGACCAGACUCCUACGGGAGGCAGCAGUGAGGAAUAUUGGACAAUGGGUGAAAGCCUGAUCCAGCCAUCCCGCGUGAAGGAUGACGGUCCUAUGGAUUGUAAACUUCUUUUGUACAGGAAUAAACCUACUCUCGUGAGAGUAGCUGAAGGUACUGUACGAAUAAGCACCGGCUAACUCCGUGCCAGCAGCCGCGGUAA
rnacentral:rRNA from 1 species